AGUGGGAUAGCUGGGUCAAAUGGUGGCUCCAUUCCAAGUUUUCUAAGGAAUCUCCAUACUGCUUUCCAUAUUGGUUGCACCAAUUUGCUGACCUACCAGCAAU
rnacentral:pre_miRNA from 1 species